rnacentral:rRNA from 1 species
AUUGAACGCUGGCGGCAUGCUUUACACAUGCAAGUCGAACGGUAACAGGCCGCAAGGUGCUGACGAGUGGCGAACGGGUGAGUAAUGCAUCGGAACGUGCCCAGUCGUGGGGGAUAACGCAGCGAAAGCUGCGCUAAUACCGCAUACGAUCUAUGGAUGAAAGCGGGGGACCGUAAGGCCUCGCGCGAUUGGAGCGGCCGAUGUCAGAUUAGGUAGUUGGUGGGGUAAAGGCUCACCAAGCCAACGAUCUGUAGCUGGUCUGAGAGGACGACCAGCCACACUGGGACUGAGACAAGGCCCAGACUCCUACGGGAGGCAGCAGUGGGGAAUUUUGGACAAUGGGCGCAAGCCUGAUCCAGCAAUGCCGCGUGCAGGAAGAAGGCCUUCGGGUUGUAAACUGCUUUUGUACGGAACGAAAAGGCUCUGGAUAAUACCUGGGGCUCAUGACGGUACCGUAAGAAUAAGCACCGGCUAACUACGUGCCAGCCGCCGCAGUAAAAC